ensembl:lncRNA
UUCAUUUUGUCUGAUAGAGAGGAGUCAUUUAAGGUCCCUACACAGUGCAAGGGAUAAGGGCAAUGAGUUCUCAAGUUGGUUCUGCCUUAAAGAAAAUCCAUGUUAUGCAUAUCAAAGGUCUGGGAGCCACUUGCAAGCACCUUGGUUGUAAGAGGAUUAUUCCAGGACCUCUUAGCCUUACGUAGCUGGAAGUGUAGGUGGAUUUAGUGGAGCUGUCUGUGGGGAAUCGCUUCCCAUCAUACAGAUCCUUCUUUCUGUACCUGUCAACAUGAGGCACUUGGUCACUCCAUUCAAAUUUUGGCAGAGGUUCGCUUGCAAAAAAAAAGUCACAUGUGCAAAAAGCCACAGUUGAAAAGGCCAGAACCAUCACCUUUGCUUUUUUGAAUGCUCGGCCUCAGAGAUUGAGAUGGCGGGAUGCUGUCGAUCUCCAUGUCUGCUGCUCCCGUGUGACUGGCGAAAUGAAUCUCACCCUUGUGGCCAGGCCCUGUGAAGUGCAGGUUUGCUAGCCUUGCGGCAACCUCGAGAAGUCAUCCUAAACAAUGCAGCAUUAGCUAACCAAGUCUCAUCAGCUACUGUAGAGUUGACCUUUUCACAGUAAAUCAAUCAAAUAAUAUCAUACACUCAAAAUUAAAAAUGUGCACGCAAGGCUGGGUAAUACUUGGUUAGUCAAUCUGUAGAUGCUUAACAUACAGACAGUCAGUAGCAAUUCAAUUAACUAUUUAACCCUAACCUUAAACCACAUCCUUGACAUUAAAUAUUUCCCGAACCCUCACCUUAAUUCUAAAAUGUUCUAUGUGAAUUGGGUAUGGUGAGAAGAAUGAAGUCUGAGUUUUAAGUUAAGGUACAUGUUUUUUGUAUAUCUUGCAUACAAUUUUCAUAUGCAUGGACCAAAGCUACUCUUAAACGAUUAUAUAUUGCCAACAUACAAAAACUUGAAGGUAAGUAGCUAUUAAUCUAUCUUAAUCAUAAGAUAGUAAUCCUAUCUUAAUCAUUUUGUAUCACUAAUGACAAGUUACGACAUGUUACAAUUUUCCCUUUAAACAUUGGGUAAAUGUUCCCUUUAAACUUUGUGAACAAUUGUUGAAGUCCUCUGUGGCCCUGAAUAGAAGAGGCUAGCUUGAUUGGAGAUAACGGAUGUUAGCUUCUUGAAUUUUUUUCAGCACAUUUUUUAAAUUACUAAAUUGUCAUCAGCAAAUAGAAUAUUUACAUUCCUUUUCAACUCUCUGAAGUUGACCCGGCAUGACUUCAUCCAAUUGGUAUAAAGUUUUGUCUGUGUCUGUUUGACUCUACCCUUAAGUACAUUUAAUGCAUUUACAGAAUGUAUUGCAUUGCAGGUAUUGUAGUGUUUGCUGUGUUGUGCAAGAUUAAAAACAGUUCAGGAUAGACAAGUCAUGAUUUUGUUUGAAGUCCCCCUGCCGCUUCAGCUACAAACGAAUAAGUUAAAGAGGAGAACAUGCUGACUUUUACAGCCGGAGCUACAUACGCCUUCAUUCAGAAUGACCGGAUUGCUGUUUUCUGAAGAUGUCUUUAAACGAUAUCGAACUCUAGGUUCUAACAGUUGGAGGGACACUCAUGAAUACCUUCUUUGGACUCAGUACGUGUUUUAAGACACAUAAGCUUCACUAAAAGUAUUUACCUGGUUGGCUCUCUCAGCUGAUAGCUGCUAUAGAGAGGAGCGCGUGAAGCAAACACUACAUUUAGUGGCUCCCUCUGCUGGCUGAAACAUGCACAACAUCACUUGACAAAAUACAAAAGGAUACAUCUCCCACUCCCACAUGACUGGUUGUAAGGAGCCCAAUGUAAGCAAAAAACUGCAAUAUUAGUACAUGAAGUAUUAGCUCAUAUUCUCAGCAAUUAUGUGUAUUUUUUUCUAUGCUUUUACAAACAUAUCAAAACCAGCAAGUGCAAUAAGAGCAAUUGCAAUAUCUAGUCAUAUGCUGUGCAAUAAAACAUUAAAACGAAUGACUUCUUCACAAUUGAGGGGGUGCAUGUGUACCAUGUAAAUUCCUUGUUUGGACAGCUGCCGAGGAACUAGCUGUUCUUCAAUCCUCUCCACUUAAGCCUUGUCGAUGUGGAUGGGGGCAUCCUCACCUCUGCUUUGUCUUCUUGACAUUGAUGAAGAAGUUGUUGUCCUUCAACCACACUGCCAGGUUGCUGACCUCCCCGUCGGCAGUCAAAUCGUUGUCUGUAAUCAGGGCUGUGGUGACACUGUGGUGUCAUUAGCAAACUUCAUGAAGGUCUUUAAGUUACGUGUUGCCACACAGUUUUAGGUGAACUGGGAAUACUGGAGAGAACUGAGCAGAAAUCCAUGUGGGCCCUCUGUGUUAAGGGACAGUGUAAAGAAACAAGAUUUUAUCAAGUCUCACAAAGUGUUUGAAGUCCAACUUUAGGCUGUAAUAUCGUUUGCAGGUCGCCUGUAAACUGUUAAAUCUUUCUGGAGAAAGCAAAACAGGAUCUGGCAGUUUUGUAUGAUUUUAUUCUGGAAGAUCAGGUAUCUUCCGUGACAUUCAAAAUUAUUUUUGCUGACAGUAGCAACAAGGGAAAAUAAUGAAUUGGAUUCAAGCAUGUCAAGUGUUGUUCUUGGACAUUUAUUCCUUUUGGUUCAGGCUUUCAUAGACCCCCAUUCCUGCCAAUUAGGACUACAUUUGACUAAGAAUUUCAAACCUAAAAUAAAUGUAUUAAAAAAUAUGCAACUGGAAAAAUAAUCUGUUUGAAGGUCUUGGGUAUCAAAAAACAAACAAAAAAACAUAUAGUUUAUAUUUUAAAUAGUAUUUUUUAUUACUUGAUAUUACUGUAGGCAACUGUUUCUUCAGUGAAACAGUGAUCAUUCUUGGAGAGGGGAUUUAAAAAUUACACUUUUCAGAGCUUUAAGAGCUUUAAAAUGUAAAAAGUAGGUAUUUCAAAUCAAAUUUCAAAAAAUAUCUGUGUUAAAUUGAUUUAUUUAUGAAAAGUCGAGGAUGGAGGGAGGCAUGACUAAACAUGUCGAAGAUCCUUUCAAAUCAAAAGAAAAUUUCAGUCUAUAUUACUCACUUAGCCUUUCGAUGUAAAAACAAACGCCAUUUAAUGUGGAUCCCAUGGAGAAAUCAAUCAAUCUAAUAGCUAAAGCCCCAACACUAGUGGAGUGACCCUGACAUACAGGUAACGCCAGUGAAUGACCAUGUUUGUCCAAUUUUCUUCAUCAUACAACAUACAGGGAAUCAUCUCCUUUGAGUACGAUACACGGGUCAUGUUUUCUCUAAACACGAAAAGGUCACAUAACACCAAUACAUCCACUCACAAAUUAUCUGAACCUUUAAGUCCAUCCAUCCUUUCACUGAUUCUUUUUCUACACCCCCUUUUUAAAAAAUGUUUCUUUCUCUCGUUUUGCUUGAAAACUUUUUAAAAGAUUAAAAGAUGAAGCAUAGUGUUGAGGUAACAUAGGGUGGAAGGGUUGAGGGAACCUAGGGCUGAGGGAACCUAGGGCUGAGGGAACCUAGGGCUGAGGGAACAUAGGGCAGAGGGAACAUAGACAACGACAAACAGCCAAGACGUUUACUAAACAGACUCCCACAGGGCCCCACCUUUCAAAGGACAGCCUCUCUUGCCGUGUCUCAAGGGUAUCUACUUCAACAGUAAAUGUGUACAUGUCAUUAAUUUGUUGGACUGCACAUUUCCAACAUAAAAUCUUUUAAUGAUGUCA